GGUGAAAAAAGCAGAAGAGAUUAUAAUGGAUGUAAUUGAUGGAGUGGAUGAGGACUGUUCAAGAUUGAAAAAAACUGUAAGAAAAGAAAGCAGUGACUCAAAUAACAGUCAGCCUGAAAAUGUGCCGCUUACAAUAGAAGAACAAGCUGUGCCAUUGUCCUGUGAUUCACUACCUUCCAUAAUAAUCACACAUGGAUCCGGCGAUUGCCCAGAGGAAAAUGAAUUUGUGGAGUCAAAAAUGAGAACAGAGGAAUCUCAAAAAGAUGUACCAGACACAAAAGUGGCUGUUGUCGUGGAGAUAAAGGAUGAUUCUAUGGAAAUUCUGGAUCAGGAUGGAGAUGUUGUAGAUGGAUGGAGAGAAAGGGAGAGAGAAAAGAAAAACGAUAAAGAACAUACAGAAGCUGGCACAUGUUCAGCAGAAUGGGAGGAGCCUGGAUCUAAAAGGAACAUUGUGGACUGUUUACAAGCACUUCAGAUCCAAAGGGAGACGGAUAUUUUUGGUCCAGUCCAACACUGUGCAGACCCCAGCUCUCAGACAGCCACAUCACAAGACAGCAAGAAGCCUCCAUUGGUGUGUUUACAAGAGGAGGAGGAUGUCAGCCCAGAGACCAACACUGAGGACAGUGUUUUUAAAGAG
ensembl:lncRNA